rnacentral:rRNA from 1 species
AUUGAACGCUGGCGGCAUGCUUUACACAUGCAAGUCGAACGGCAGCGGGGGCUUCGGCCUGCCGGCGAGUGGAGAACGGGUGAGUAAUGCAUCGGAACGUACCCAGUCAUGGGGGAUAACGUAGCGAAAGCUAUGCUAAUACUGCAUACGACGUGAGGGGGAAAGCGGGGGAGCUUAGGAACACGAGUUAUUGGAGCGGCCGAUGACGGAUUAGCUAGUUGGUGGGGUAAAGGCCUACCAAGGCGACUAUCCGUAGCGGGGCUGAGAGGAUGAUCCGCCACACUAGGACGGAGACACGGCCCAGACUCCUACGGGAGGCAGCAGUGGUGAAUUUUGGACAAUGGGCGCAAGCCUGAUCCAGCCAUGCCGCGUGAGUGAAGAAGGCCUUCGGGUUGUAAAGCUCUUUCAGACGUAAAGAAAACGCCCCUGUUAAUACCGGGGGCGGAUGACGGUACUGUCAGAAGAAGCACCGGCUAACUACGUGCCAGCAGCCGCCGUAAAAC